GGUAUUGCGGGCGCGAAUUCGCCCUUACUCCUACGGGGAGGCAGCAGCAAGGAAUUUUGUGCAAUGGGCGAAAGCCUGACACAGCGACGCCGCGUGGGGGAUGACGGCUUUCGGGUUGUAAACCCCUUUUCUCAGGGAUGAAUAAAAUGACAGUACCUGAGGAAUAAGCCACGGCUAACUACGUGCCAGCAGCCGCGGUAAUACGUAGGUGGCAAGCGUUAUCCGGAUUUAUUGGGCGUAAAGAGGGCGCAGGCGGCCUUUCAAGUCGGAUGUAAAAUCUCCCAGCUUAACUGGGAGCGAUCACCCGAAACUGCUGGGCUCGAGUGCAACAGGGGAAGGUAGAAUUCCCGGUGUAGUGGUGAUAUGCGUAGAUAUCGGGAGGAAUACCAGUGGCGAAGGCGGCCUUCUGGGUUGUCACUGACGCUUAAGCCCGAAAGCGUGGGGAGCAAACAGGAUUAGAUACCCUGGUAGUCCACGCUGUAAACGAUGGAUACUAGGUAUAGGGAGUAUCGACCCUUUCUGUGCCGAAGCUAACGCGUUAAGUAUCCCGCCUGGGAACUACGGCCGCAAGGCUA
rnacentral:rRNA from 1 species